UACGCAGGGGGCAAGCGUUGUCCGGAAUUAUUGGGCGUAAAGAGCGUGUAGGCGGUCCGGUAAGUCGGCUGUGAAAGUCCAGGGCUCAACCCUGGGAUGCCGGUCGAUACUGCCGGACUAGAGUUCGGAAGAGGCGAGUGGAAUUCCCGGUGUAGCGGUGAAAUGCGCAGAUAUCGGGAGGAACACCUAUGGCGAAGGCAGCUCGCUGGGACGUUACUGACGCUGAGACGCGAAAGCGUGGGGAGCAAACAGG
rnacentral:rRNA from 1 species